GUGCACACACGGGGCAGUGCUGAUAUGCCAGUCACCUGCCACCUCGGCCGCCUCCGGACCUUGGGCACCAAAAAGCACUUUUUAAAAAUAUACUUUAAGUUAUGGGAUACAUGUGCAGAACGUGCAGGUUUGUUACAUAGGUAUACACGUGCCAUGGUGGUUUGCUGCACCCAUCAACCCGUCAUCUACAUCAGGCCUGCUGGAGUUUGCUGGAGGUCCAUUCCAGACCCUGUUUGCCUGGGUAUCACCAGCGGAGGCUGCAGAACAGCAAAGAUUGCUGCCUGUUCCUUCCUCUGGAAACUUCGUUCCAGAAGGGCACCUGCCAGAUACCAGCCAGAGCUCUCCUGUAUGAGCAGGAGGAAGCAUUCCCAUGUGAAAGAUGAGCUCCCUAUAAAAGCAACGCUCUUAUCAUCGAGAACAGAAAGUUGAAGCCAAGAGAGAGCUCCACAAGCUGACCUUGUUAAACUAACCCUUAUCUUCUUAGUCGCUUCUUUACCCAAUUAACUACCCUAGCCGAAGCCCCUUUGCCUUAUUACAUUUUGCAACAGUGUUCGUUGUCCAAUUC
ensembl:lncRNA novel transcript